CGUAGGUGGCGAGCGUUGUCCGGAUUUACUGGGCGUAAAGGGAGCGUAGGCGGAUUUUUAAGUGAGAUGUGAAAUACUCGGGCUUAACCUGAGUGCUGCAUUUCAAACUGGAAGUCUAGAGUGCAGGAGAGGAGAAGGGAAUUCCUAGUGUAGCGGUGAAAUGCGUAGAGAUUAGGAAGAACACCAGUGGCGAAGGCGCUUCUCUGGACUGUAACUGACGCUGAGGCUCGAAAGCGUGGGGGAGCAAACAGGAUU
rnacentral:rRNA from 1 species